GUCCUGAGGGAGGGAAAGGAGACAAGUGGAACUCCUGGCCCUCCACUUUCCUUCUCCCUCCCCGGAAACAUCCAGCCUGUGCCUUUGUGGCCUCUCGGGCUGGGUUGCAAUCUCACGCCAACCCCGCUUGCUGGUUGUCAGGAGGCCCUCUGGGGAGGACGCUGCAAGAGCCUCAAAUGCCACCUACUCCCGGCCUCUCUCCCAGUUGAUGUUUCUAUUUUGGGCACCACAUUAUUUCCUGCUGUGAUUUUUUUUCAGGCUUCUAAUUCGGGCUCUGAGGAAAAACAAAACCAAAGAAUGUUAUCCAGUCACAGGAGAGCACACCUGUAAUCCCAGCGUUUGAGAAGGGGACUCCGGAAGGUCAGAAGUUGAAGGUCACCCUCUAGCUCAAGGCCAGACCCGGCUACAUGAAACGUUGAUGAAUAAAACACUGAUUGGCCAGUAGAAGCCGGAAGAUAGGCGGGGCUAGGAGAUGAGGAGAAUGCUGGGAAGAGAGGCAGAGAGGCCUCGAAGAGACUCUACGUAGAGACGUAGAGGUGAGGGAGAUGGGAGAUGGGACGUACCAGGCGUUCUCUGGUAAGAUAAGGCCAUGUAGAAAUACAUAGAUUAGUAGUUAUGGGAUAAUAAUUAAGAGAGAGCUAGCCAGUAAGAAGCCCUAGCCAUCGGCCAACAAUUUAUAAAUGAACUUUGUGUGUGUUUAUUUGGGGCUAAUCAGCUGUGGAACCAGAGUAGAAAGAAACUCCAGCAACAGAACUAGAUGAAGCAGCCUGUGGCAAAACCUGCCAGGGAAUUAUGCCCAUAUUCUUCAAGUAUAAGCUGGUACAAGUGCAGAAGAUGGAAGUGAAUGACUAAGCAGACGAGACCAAGUGUUUGAGACCAUGGGAGUAACGACACUAAGUUAGGACUGAACACAGAAAGGCGGGGAGAACUUGGCAACCUAGGUGCUAGAACAGCCCGAACAAAAGCUCUGAGUUGGGCAAGUGGUAUGUGUACACAGGAACUGGAAACUUCUCGAAGCCUUUAGGGCCUGGAGGGAAAGUUCAGCCCAGCAUCCAGGAUGGAUUGGACAUUGGCAGACGAGUGGGCAGUGAACGGCUGGGCUCUAGUUGCAGUGUCUGUCUGAAAAGAGCUCCACUUUCCAGCCCUUCCUUAAGCCUCGCAGUGCUACAGAAAGAAAGCAGCGCUGCACUUCUCCCCUCAGAGCACAGAGCCUGAAGAGAGCCCCUCACCCUCCAUCUCUCUUGUUAGCAGAGGCCCAGAUUCAGGGCAGCCUUGCUGGGCCCCGUGGGCCCAUGGGGCCCUUGUUUUGUGCUUUCUGCAGCUCCACAGCCUGCCUUGUUUAUUUGUUCAGCAGGUUUAUUUCAGCCAUGGCACAGCCUGUUCCGACUCUGGAACAUUUAUGAGAUGAGCCAAUUUUUAAAAAUCAUACAAAAUAAAUGAUUUUCUCUUGGAGCUAAAGGGUGGGGCUGCCAGGGUGGGAGACAGGUUUCUGGCCAGCUUUGGGCAGAGUUUUGGCUUAUCCUUCGAUGUAUUCUUUCCCCUUCUUGCCCAUGGGAACCAAGGGGACUGCAAUGGGAUUUCCUGCCUCUAUUUCUCCAGACUAUGAUGUGGAAAGAUUGGAACAUUCAACCGUAAGAUUUCCGGUUCUCAUCUCCACCCUCAUUAGUUCCAUUCCAAAGCCUGGCUCUAAAUGACUGCAUCUAAGCCACAUCUAAUUGAUCAGGCUCGGGAUGGAGAUGUCAUAAUCAGACCUGGACCACUCCAACCCCUCUGACAGCAGCUUCCCCCUGCCUCUUUGCUCGUGAAUUCUGGCUUGAUCCUUCAAAGUCCAGCUGUCACCUCAUCAGCUCUAAACCCUACUGUAUUCCUCUUAGCUGGCCAGCUAUUUAAAAUAAUUUUUUAAAGUCCAAGACAGCUAAAAUGCUGAAUUCUUUUGCUUUUUUUUUCCUUGGGGAGGAGGGGUGUUCCAGACAGAGUUCCUUUGUGUGUAACCCUAGCUGUCCUGGAACUUUCUCUAUAGACCAGGCUGGCCUCAAACUCAGAGAUCUACCUGCCUUUGCCUCCCAAGUUUUGGAAUUAAAGAUGUGCACCACUGCAGACCGGCAUUCUUUCCCUUUUUUUGUGGGGGGGGACUGGUUGUUAACUCAGCUGAGUAAUGUCAGUUAGCUCAGCUGGUCUGAAGCACCUAUUUGUAGCUAUGUAAAUAUUUGAUAGUGAAAAGCCUAGACAUUAAUGAUUAAUACUUUCAAUUUGGGGGUCAACAAAACACUUUAUUGAAACCUUAGGCAGGUGUAACUGUAAUCCCAGCACUCAGGACUGAGGCAAGAAAACUGAGAAUUCAAGGCUAGCCUGGGCUACAUAGCAAAACUGAUUAAAAAUAAAAAUAGAAAACAAAGUCCUGUGCCCCAAAGAGCUGGAAAAAAAAUUCUUUAAGUACCCCAGAGGGUGGGUAAGAGGGAGUCUUUGAAAGGAAAUCAAUAGAUCCCAGCUGGCCUUUGCCAUGUGCCUGCCUCAUUAUCCUAAAAGACCAGGUGCUCAGUGGGCACCAUCAGGGCCCUCUGUAUAGAUGGCUGAGGCUGAUGGCCCUCUCUGGCUCCUUGGAUCACUGCAGCCAUGCCGACCCCAGCUAGUAGUCCCAUCAGAACACAUUUAGGACUGUCCCAGCCCCAGGCCCAGGCUGCCUAAUUGAUG